rnacentral:rRNA from 1 species
AGGUAGCGAAAUUCCUUGUCGGGUAAGUUCCGACCUGCACGAAUGGCGUAACGAUCUCCACACUGUCUCGGCCAGAGACUCGGUGAAAUUGCAGUCGCGGUGAAAAUUCCGUGUACCCGCAGAAAGACGGAAAGACCCUGUGCACCUUUACUAUAGCUUGACAUUGGAUUUUGGGCCUGCAUGUGUAGGAUAGGUGGGAGGCUGUGAACCCUGUACGCCAGUAUGGGGGGAGCCAUCCUUGAAAUACCACCCUUGCAUGUUUAAGAUCCUAACUUCUUCCGGUUAUCCCGGAGAAAGACAGUGUCUGGCGGGUAGUUUGACUGGGGCGGUCGCCUCCUAAAGUGUAACGGAGGCAUGCAAAGGUUCCCUCAGCCUGAUCGGAAACCAGGCGCUGAGUGCAAACGCAUAAGGGAGCUUGACUGUAAGAGAGACAUCUCGAACAGGAACGAAAGUUGGCGUUAGUGAUCCGGUGGUCCCGAAUGGAAGGGCCAUCGCUCAUUGGAUAAAAGGUACGCCGGGGAUAACAGGCUGAUCGCAUCCAAGAGUUCACAUCGACGAUGCGGUUUGGCACCUCGAUGUCGGCUCAUCACAUCCUGGGGCUGAAGCAGGUCCCAAGGGUACGGCUGUUCGCCGUUUAAAGUGGUACGCGAGCUGGGUUUAAAACGUCGUGAGACAGUUUGGUCCCUAUCUUCUGUGGGCGAAGGAGAAUUGAGAGGGCCUGUCCCUAGUACGAGAGGACCGGGAUGGACGCACCCCUGGUGAUCCUGUUGUCGCGCCAGCGGCAUAGCAGGGUAGCUAUGUGCGGAAGGGAUAACCGCUGAAAGCAUCUAAGCGGGAAGCCUGCCUCAAGAUAAGUUCUCCCCUCGAAAGAGCUGAAGGGCCCGGGUAGACUACCCGGUCGAUAGGCUGGAGGUGUAAGCACGGCGACGUGCUCAGCUGACCAGUACUAAUAGCCCGAGCGGCUUAUUUUU